rnacentral:rRNA from 1 species
GAUGAACGCUGGCGGCGUGCCUAAUACAUGCAAGUCGAGCGAACGGACGAGAAUCUUGCUUCUCUGAUGUUAGCGGCGGACGGGUGAGUAACACGUGGAUAACCUACCUAUAAGACUGGGAUAACUUCGGGAAACCGGAGCUAAUACCGGAUAAUAUUUUGAACCGCAUGGUUCAAAAGUGAAAGACGGUCUUGCUGUCCCUUAUAGAUGGAUCCGCGCUGCAUUAGCUAGUUGGUAAGGUAACGGCUUACCAAGGCAACGAUGCAUAGCCGACCUGAGAGGGUGAUCGGCCACACUGGAACUGAGACACGGUCCAGACUCCUACGGGAGGCAGCAGUAGGGAAUCUUGCGCAAUGGGCGAAAGCCUGACGGAGCAACGCCGCGUGAGUGAUGAAGGUCUUCGGAUCGUAAAACUCUGUUAUUAGGGAAGAACAUAUGUGUAAGUAACUGUGCACAUCUUGACGGUACCUAAUCAGAAAGCCACGGCUAACUACGUG